UCCAACAACCCAACAACACUGUACCGAAAUGGUACAUAAAUAUAACCUUUUAAUAUAAAUAAUUCAUUGAUAGCAAGCUAUUAGCGACAUAUAAUAAAAUAAGUACGAUGUGCUGCGCGCUCCGCGCCCGUCGCCCGGGCACUCCCCGCUGCUGCCGGUCUGCAGCUAGAUCGCGAAUUGACUUCAGUGUGGUAGCCUCGUCAUUAGAGACUGCACACUCCAACUACUUCCAACUCCAAUUACUUCGUGACAGUCGCCUUAGUCAGUCGCGGAGAAAUAUAAUUAUUACAACUAGUUAAUUAAAUACGCGAGUGCAGUAUUCCCGAUUUAGGGAGCAACGUACGGCUUAGGUCAGGCACGUACGGCUUAGGACGACCAAGUCAGGCCGAGUCACAAAGCUACUCAAGUUAACUUCACGCAUCUGCGCGUCACCAUCUUCGUCAUCACCGUCCAGGGCCGGCUCCAGUAUCCGCCUUGCUCCCGUUCCUGCUGCCACGUCACAUCUCGGCCACCACAGGGGAGUACCUCGCACGGCAACGUCAAAGAUUAGUAGAUAUAUCAAGGACCACGACCUUAAAAAUUUGUGUGCCUCCGACGAGCUAUUUAAGGGAUAAACCUAAAUUAUUAAAUUUUAAUUAUUUAAUUGCCGUA
rnacentral:lncRNA from 1 species